AUCCCGUGAUCCAUGGAAAGCACGAUCUGAGGACUUCAGAUCAGUUGCGAUAGGUCCUGGCCAAGAUUCGGUGACGCCGUGUUCCACCACCCCGGCGAUAUUUGCCACGACAGCGAGAAAUCCGAGCAGCACCUGGUACAUGGAUAAGGGGCAAAGAAGCGUGAAAACAAUGCUUCAUUCCCGUGGCACAAAUGCAUGCUGCAACGCAGGCAUCCGACAAAGUGGCCACAAGAAAUGCGGCAACACAAUGCAGUGGCAAUGUUGCUUUCAAAAUCACAAAGAUGGAUUGGAAUCCAGAUGGCUAGCACAAUGAAAGAAACAGAAUUCCAGACAGACAUCGGCCUUUCGGAUGUAGUGGCUCAUCUUGAGCAGCAGCACUGCUCCACACCUGUGGCACCUGUAAUACCAGAGACCUCUGCGACACCUGUGCGAUCUGAGCCAUCGUUGUCAUAUCGGGAUGAUCCCAACAAUGAUACAUAUGAACCUCUUUCGAACAGCUCAGAAGGGUUCCUCAGUUCAGGUGUUUCCUUGGGCCAGCAGGAAGGUCCAGUCUCAAGGAAAUUUCAUAUAUAUGAGUACUCCCUCUUGAACUUUUUGAGACCUGCAACAUUUGUGAUCUUCCUGCUAAAGCUUCAGUAAAGACUACAUCAACAGUAUUCUUGAAGCUGUUGAACAGCUCUUAGGGCAGACCUCCCGAGAGUACUGCCACCCCCACCUCUAACGAGCUCCUAUGGAACUGUGAACAAAUCAGCAGUUGUUGCCGCACAUUUGUCGCGGUUUUUCAACUAAGUCAACUGGAAGCCACCCACAAGCUCUGUCACUGACACCUUUGUAGUGAAACAGUACGGCACUGCUUCUGCGCACGCGUCACGCCAAUGGUUCUAAAUAUGAGUGCCACUAAUGAGAACAUUUUCACUCGAUGGAAGACAGAAAAUUGUGUGUGCUCCUGCUAUCACUUGCGGCUUGGUUCGUGGUUUUACGUUUCAUUUGGAACUCCUGCUAAAUGGAACAUACUGUUGCGAUGUCGCAGUUAUUAUCAUAUUAAAGUGAAGGAGGAAGAGUAGGACGAUGUUGGCUGGGGAUCAACAACCGCCAUUUUCACUUGUUUUAUUUUCCCUAUAAAUAUCUCUGAAAUAUAUUCGCAACAAUAUUUUGCUGGUCCCUUCACGUUCUGUUUAAUAAAAGUUUACUGUGCUUACACAGCAACUGCAGGCCCAACACGUGAUCAAGGGCCAACAGCACCAACUCCAGGAACAGCUGCAACACAACGAAAAUGUGCACUUGCCUGACGAUUCUGCACAGCCCCACUUUGGCCACGCUCCCUUAAGCUCUGCUCCAGCGAUCAUUGCCAAUGGAGGCACUACCACUUCUGUGGCUGUUACUGGCAACGGCGUCUGUGGCAUAGUCAUCAAGCUACCACCAUUUUGGGCAGUCAAGUGAGGUGUGGUUCACUCGAGUUGAGGAAGUUUUCCGCGGCACAUAUCACCCAGUACUGAAAACGCUAUGACUACAUUGUCGCCCAUCUGGACUCUCGUUGCGCAACUGACAACUAGCUUCAUGACAAACUUGCAAGUCCUCUGGUUGAUGACUGCUGCCUGCACCUGAACAUGCAACUGAUCCGACGGCUUUCACCUUCAGCAGACGUACGAGAAAUAGUGACUACCCUCCUGAAGCGCUAAGAGCUUGUUGACCUCCUCUGAGUAAUCUGGCUUCAGUGUUUAAUUUCGCACGCAAAGGCCAUCCUGCAACUUCAGUCAAAUGUGCUGCUGGGCCAGCUAGCUGAAAUCGCGGACCGCGGCGUCAAGUUUUCUUUACUGCCGUCACUUUUCUUCUUCCCUGCCGAUGGCGCCUCACAGCGUUUCUUCGAGCUCAUGAGGUGUAUCGACAAAAUCACCCGUCAGCUGGACUCUUCAAAAGCACCUGGAUCAACGUCCAACGUUGUGUCUCAGAAAACGUCCCCAAAGCCAACACCACUACGCCAAUUCAAUGCAAGGAAAUAAUGACGGCUGCUGCUACUAUCAUCACGCCCUUUUGACCGUGUUGGCCUUGCUCUAUAUGAACCGAUUCCAUGCGACUGGCAAUCAAUCAAACAAGAUACACAGUAACAGCUGCACUACCUACUGCUCGUGCUCAUGGCAUAGACAACCUAGGGUUACCUGCAUCAUGGUGUACUAAGCCUAGCGAUAAAGGGCGAGUGUUUUUAUACUAAGUUUUUCAGCUACUUUUUUGCACAUGCUGCACAGUUUACUGCACCUCUACAGCCAACCACGUGCAGACCAAUGGUCUAACAGAGCACUUCAACCAAAUGAUGGCAUACAUGUUUGCAAAGCAUGUCGAUUCUGAACAAUUGGACUGGGAUGUCAUUCUCAUAUUUAUGUCUUCUCCAUACAAAUAGGCUCCUCACCAUAUUUUCUCAGGCCUUGAACCAUGCACCACUCUUGACAUUAUUUUGCUGUAGCGACUGAACGCCUCUGAACUCAGUCCCAUUACUGAAUUUGUAGAGCACGCAAAAGAGUGUCAUCAUUUGGCCUGCUCAUUCACUUCGAACGGCUUUUUUGUUUCUGGGGUGUUGCAGCGAGGAAGAACAAUAAUAUGCCGUCGAGGGACAUCACCUUAGCUGAAAGAGCUGAGCGUGAGCAGGGACGAAAUUAUUCUGUCUGUUUUCAACACCUGAUUUCAGUGUUGACAGGUCCAUGGACACUGGGGCAGGAUUUCGUAUUGGAGGUGAGGUGCAUGCUCCUGUUUCAUCCAGCUAGGGUAGGAGAGGGAGCACUGGUGUGGCUUACGUGAGAAAAAGUGCUGGUCUGCUUUGAGGGGGAAAAUUCCUCUUUUGCACCCCCUUCAGAUGCCCACAUUUUGGCCUCCUGCUCUGCUCAAGUGCUAUUUUCAUCAAGGAAACCUCAUUGUACUUCAUCAAUAUAGCGCGUGUCUCAAGUAUCAUGCACCAAGAUCUAAGAAAAGCAACUGUGUUACUCUAAAACCUUGAGCAUACUGUUUUCAGUACAGUAUGCCCAUGGCGGCCGUCCCCAAGGUGAGGCCCACCGUCCGCUUCCUCUUUAUUCGAACAUACCCAAACUGAGCCCACUCGUCCUGCCAUGACAUCACAGAAGAUCUAGCUGAAAAAAUGCAACUGAAGCUGCUGGGAGAAACUUGAGUUUCAUUUACCAUCUUUGGCAGCAUUUCCCCAAACUCUGCAGAAAGACGAAAAGUCUGACAUCCCCCUGCAAAGCCAACACCAUUCUCAAAUUCACAUUAUUCUGGCCAUUGUCACACCAUUUAUUUGGGACGACAUUUUUUCGAUGACAAGUGAUGACUACCUUAUACAGAAGUAGCAUUGCGAAGGAAAGGUUAAAAAAAGUACUGUUCUAAAUUUCAGAGUGUCAAGAGACAUUUGUAGUCAUGAUUUGGUAUUUUGUUGCUUUAUUUUGAGUAUUUAGUGAUUGUACAGCAGUGACAAAUUCGAAUGGGACAAUUAAGAGUUAAGGGCUCCCAAGCUAUCUGCUUGCGAAAAUGCACAUCCCAAGCAGAUAGUUUGGAAUGUGCACAUCCUUCUGCACAUCAUAUCCAGUUUGGGUCAUACUAGUGUAAUUUGAACUAAAAUGUGUAAAUUGUAGCUAACAUAAUCUUCAGAGACCACAUUCUCUUCUACAUAAUGUGGUUGUCUCGAGCGAUUGUACAGUUCAGUUAUACUAAAACUGUGAAGGCGCACCUGGGUCCGUCAAUGCUGUAAGAAAAGUUUCCGCUCCAGCUUGCACUAUGCGUCCUAAACAUUCUGUCAAUAACAUAAAAAAUAAAAAAAACACCAAAAUAUUUCAUACUCAUUUGAAUACAGUUUGUGUUGUAUAGUAUGUGCAUUAAUAUAACAGGGGAAGACAUACGAGAAAGUGUGUGUAAAAAGGCCUUGCGUUUGCUACUGUCUCUUUUUUUUCCUUGUUGCAUAAUACAUUUAUAAUUAGUUUCACAGCAAGAAGUUUUACUGAAGUGCACUUUUUAGUGAUCUUGAUGUUAUAAACAAUUUAUGAUGAUGUGGUGCUAUUGCUUCAAGUGCGUAUAUACAAAGAAUUUUCUUUGCUGCUCUAGGUGUAACGUCGGUAUAUGGGUGUUGUGGCAUUUCUUGUCAUUGUUUCUUGCACUACCAUCCAUGUGCUUCUGCUGUGCUGAAUGAAUGCUGUUGUCUGUAUAACACUUGCAGUUUGUUUGGAUAAAUCCUUGUACAUGCCAUCUUGUGGAGCAAAGGCAGCUGAAAUGCCACUGCAUUGCAACCUUUUCAUUACAUUGCCUAAAAGAAGGUGUACUAAAUUUAAUUGGUUUUAAAAGUCACACCUUCACUCUAGCAAUAUGCUUGCCGAGACUAAUUGUUGAAAUUCCUGCAGUUUCAUUGGACAAUGUGCAUAUUUUAUACCCAUGCUGAUUCGCAUCACAAGUUGGUCUAUUAUUUAACGGCUAGGUAUAGUUACUGUGCGGGCCAAUGGUCACCCAUUAUGCAAUACCUUGACACAGCCUCAAUAAUUAUUCUUCAAAUAUGUGUCGGAAAAAUAUUGGACGUAAUAGGUUGCAUAUUGUGUUGUCCAUCUUAGCUGCACGAAUAGUUGCCAAGGUUUUCAAACACUUUACACAUGCACUUUAAUAUUACGGGUAUCGAAAUCCACAUUAUUCUUGAGAUGGGAAGGCUUCCAUUAUUGCAGAGCCAACACAGCUAGGAAGCAUCACUCUCUUUUUUCGUCCCAGACGGCGCCACACCCACAGAGCAAACUGUCGGUACGUAGUAUACCUGUACCGCCUGAAAAAUAACUCGCCGAGUCGGAGAUCUCUGCUUGAAAAACGUAAAAUAGGAACGCUGAGGUUUAAAAAAAUCUUUUGAAAGAUUUUGAAAUGUCUAGCAAGAACGAACUGCUUGACUGUACACUGGUCACUUUUUUUAACCACAUGGUGUGCGGUGGGAUUAAGUCUUGUUGCACAAAAUUCUAUCAGAACGUGCUCAUUGAAAAUGCUUUGGCAACGUACCUGUGUAUUUCCGAGGCCUCAAGGAAAUCGGGAUGGUCGUUCAUGAGGGCGUAAUAAGCUACCUCAAGCGUGUGCACUUUCAUGCAGGCCUGCGAAAAUAUGAGAUGAGCGGUGAUGCAGCCCGCUUCUUCUGGAAUAAGCGGCCGCACGCAUUCUUCCUCCUUGCAGCACAACGACUCCAGUUUCAUUUCCAUGGGACGGCAGUGGCCGCAUUGGCACCUAUGUAAGCGGUCGCCAAAACCGUCAGCCUCUCUCACACAGUUCACGAUAUCGCACAUGCAAAGAUGCAUGCAAAAUAAAGAAAGUUGCUAAGCAAA